UACGUAGGUGGCAAGCGUUGUCCGGAUUUACUGGGCGUAGAGAGCGCGCAGGCGGUCGAGUAAGUCGAAUGUGAAAGCCCCCGGCUCAACUGGGGAUCGUCAUUCGAUACUGCUUGACUUGAAGAUGGGAGAGGGAAGCGGAAUUUCAGGUGUAGUGGUGAAAUGCAUAGAUAUCUGAAGGAACACCAGUGGCGAAGGCGGCUUUCUGGCCCAUUCUUGACGCUGAGGCGCGAAAGCUAGGGGAGCGAACGGG
rnacentral:rRNA from 1 species